rnacentral:rRNA from 1 species
GAUGAACGCUGGCGGCGUGCCUAAUACAUGCAAGUCGAGCGAACAGACGAGGAGCUUGCUCCUCUGACGUUAGCGGCGGACGGGUGAGUAACACGUGGAUAACCUACCUAUAAGACUGGGAUAACUUCGGGAAACCGGAGCUUAUACCGGAUAAUAUCUUGAACCGCAUGGUUCAAUAGUGAAAGUCGGUUUUGCUGUCACUUAUAGAUGGAUCCGCGCCGCAUUGGCUAGUUGGUAAGGUAACGGCUUACCAAGGCAACGAUGCGUAGGCGACGUGAGGGGGUGAUCGGCCACACUGGAACUGAGACAGGGUCCAGACUCCUACGGGAGGCAGCAGUAGGGAAUCUUACGCAAUGGGCAAAAACUUGACGGAGCAACGCCGCGUGAGUGAUGAAGGUCUUCGGAUCGUAAAGCUCUGUUAUGAGGGAAGAACAAAUGUGUAAGUAACUAUGCACGUCUUGACGGUACCUAAUCAGAAAGCCACGGCUAACUACGUG